rnacentral:lncRNA from 1 species
CAGUUGGAAGCAGCAGUCCGGGGAGCUGCUGACUUGUAGCAGCAACUGUGGAUGAAGGAUCCUUAAUCGGGAGCUUUGGUUCGUAUUCCCAUUUCCAACACAGCCUCCAGAGACCACGGGUGUGUGCAUAACUUGGGAAGAGGAAAGGCUCCACAGGUGAGAUGGAGAAGCUGCACAGCCAAAUCACUGAAACCCAAAGAAUUAAUCAGGUGAAGUUACACUGUGAGCAGCACCCAAGCCUUGAUUACAGCCUGUCAUCAAGGAAACCACAGAACUUGGACAAAAAAAAAAAAAUAUUACAAGAGGCUUAGCAUUUAAUGCUCUAAAGUAGUAAAUCCACAGCAAAUCCUCCUGAAUCUAAAUAUGCCUAAGACAUAUUUUAACUUAUUUUUUAAAGUUUUCUCGAAUGCCAUCUUACACUCCCAAACUAAGCUCCACUGUUGCUUUUGCUUUCUCAGUAGUAUGCAAAUCGGGUUACAUCCCAUGCCUCGAGUGCCCUUUUGGCAUCCCAAAAGCUCCUUCCAAUAAACAAGUCCACAUGCACCUUGGGAUCACCUUCUGGCUUAUUUCUCCUAAGACUGGUGUGAAAGCUCAACUUGGUCAAAAGCCUGCCUGGGUUUUUGGCAAAACCAAGGAUGUCAAUGGAAAACAACCCCAGUCCACACGGGAAGAAAAUAAUCCCAGUUUUAACAUGAAAUGGAAGUUUUACCAAUGCCUCUGGACCAAAAGAAAACAAGCAGCUUUUACAUCACUUACUUCCACAAGAGAAUUCCCACUGCAAACUGAUGGAGCUCCUACAGAUUCUGGAUAGGAAGAGGAGAGCCACACACAGCAAAUACACGCGGAGCAGCCGUCCCUUCCCUUCCGAGCCAGGCAAGUAAACACCUGACCACGCUACAUCCCUGGAAACACGGUGCUCUACUGGCAGACAGGGAAAAACAGCCUUUAAAAAACGAAAACAAGCUCUAUCAGUAAAAGUGCACUUCUGCAGAUAAACUGCUCCUGCAGCUGGGACUUCUGCUGGCACAGCUCUGUCGGUCACGGGUCACACUCCGGCACCGCGCGCGCAGACAGAGCUGUGCCAGCAGAAGUUUGCCGUGCAAACCUGGGGGGAAACUCGGGAGCCGCUAACGUGGAUCUGCAAAGGCCUGUGUUUUUCCAACAGUCUGACCAUGAGGAGCCUGUCUUACCCCUGGCACGUGAAUCUCUUGCUUCCAAGCACAGAAGAAAACUGGACUUCACACGGGAACACGGCAGUGCCUCUGAGCCAUUUACACUGCACUUUAUCCUUCAAUUAAAUACACAAACUGAGCGAGGAAGAGCCCCCGUAGGAAGGGAAGAUAAAAGGGAAUAAAUUAAGUUGUGCUGUACUUCA